UACAGAGGGUGCGAGCGUUGUUCGGAAUUAUUGGGCGUAAAGGGCGCGUAGGCGGCGCCACAAGUCACUUGUGAAAACUCUGGGCUCAACUCAGAGCCUGCAAGCGAAACUGUGGUGCUGGAGUAUGGGAGAGGUGCGUGGAAUUCCCGGUGUAGCGGUGAAAUGCGUAGAGAUCGGGAGGAACACCAGAGGCGAAGGCGGCGACCUGGACAGUGACUGACACUCAACUACGAAAGCGUGGGGAGCAAACAGG
rnacentral:rRNA from 1 species